rnacentral:rRNA from 1 species
CAGCCGCCGCGGUAAUACGAAGGGUGCAAGCGUUAAUCGGAAUUACUGGGCGUAAAGCGUGCGUAGGCGGUUUGUUAAGUCUGUUGUGAAAUCCCCGGGCUCAACCUGGGAAUGGCAAUGGAUACUGGCAAGCUAGAGUGUGUCAGAGGAUGGUGGAAUUCCCGGUGUAGCGGUGAAAUGCGUAGAGACCGGGAGGAACAUCAGUGGCGAAGGCGGCCAUCUGGGACAACACUGACGCUGAGGCACGAAAGCGUGGGGAGCAAACAGGAUUAGAUACCCCGGUAGUCCCUGUCUCUUAUAC